rnacentral:rRNA from 1 species
ACCAACAGGAUUGCCUCAGUAGCGGCGAGUGAAGCGGCAAGAGCUCAGAUUUGAAAUCGCAGCGCAUGCUGCGAGUUGUAGAUUGCAGGUGGGUGAGUCUGCGUAGGCCGGUGUCGAAGUCCCUUGGAACAGGGCGCCACUGAGGGUGAGAGCCCCGUGCGAUGCCACGCUCUACGUUUUGUACUCCCCUCUGACGAGUCGAGUUGUUUGGGAAUGCAGCUCUAAGUGGGUGGUAAAUUCCAUCUAAAGCUAAAUAUUGGCGAGAGACCGAUAGCGAACAAGUACAGUGAUGGAAAGAUGAAAAGCACUUUGAAAAGAGAGUGAAACAGCACGUGAAAUUGUUGAAAGGGAGGGUAUUGGGCCCGACAUGGGAAUCGCGCACCGCUGCUCCUUGUGGGCGGCGCUCUGGGCUUUUCCUGGGCCAGCAUCGGUUCUUGCUGCAGGAGAAGGGGCUGUGGAAUGUGGCUGCCGCG